AGUGAACGCUGGCGGUAGGCCUAACACAUGCAAGUCGAACGGCAGCACAGAGGAGCUUGCUCCUUGGGUGGCGAGUGGCGGACGGGCGAGGAAUACAUCGGAAUCUACUUUUUCGUGGGGGAUAACGUAGGGAAACUUACGCUAAUACCGCAUACGACCUACGGGUGAAAGCAGGGGACCUUCGGGCCUUGCGCGAUUGAAUGAGCCGAUGUCGGAUUAGCUAGUUGGAGGGGUAAAGGCCCACCAAGGCGACGAUCCGUAGCUGGUCUGAGAGGAUGAUCAGCCACACUGGAACUGAGACACGGUCCAGACUCCUACGGGAGGCAGCAGUGGGGAAUAUUGGACAAUGGGCGCAAGCCUGAUCCAGCCAUACCGCGUGGGUGAAGAAGGCCUUCGGGUUGUAAAGCCCUUUUGUUGGGAAAGAAAUCCAGCCGGCUAAUACCUGGUUGGGAUGACGGUACCCAAAGAAUAAGCACCGGCUAACUUCGUGCCAGCAGCCGCCGUAA
rnacentral:rRNA from 1 species